GGACUUCAACAGUAUGUUCAAACGUGCAACAUCAAAGUUCCAAAAGAAUACCGACGUUUGGAUAAUUCUGUCGCUUCAGGAAGUCAACUAAAUGACGAGCAGCAGCAGGAAAACACCCAAUCCCAUCAGCAAACGGGGCAGUCACAAAUUGUUUCUGCAGGAGCAAAUCCAACGGACAACACAGAGGUUGAAACGGAAGUAACGAUCGAGUCAAAGGAAUUCCCGGAGAAUGAUGUUAAAGGUGAAACACACAAUCAAAUUAAAAGGUUAGCAAAUCUGGGAUUUUUUGAAAGUGAAUUAGAUGGACGUGUCACCAGACAAAACGCAGACAAUGUUUGUGUCCUAGUCAUUCACUACGAGUUCAAAAACGAUCCUAAAUUUAUCCGAAAUGGAGACACCUGUGACGUAGAAAACCUCAAGACUUCCUUCGGGGAAAACCGGAAUUGCAAUUUCCGUAACAUGUCACCGAACAAAGAGACUUUACUCCAACUUCUUGGCGAUCAAGAAGGGCUUUUGCAGCUU